rnacentral:rRNA from 1 species
GACGAAGGGGGCUAGCGUUGUUCGGAAUUACUGGGCGUAAAGCGCGUGUAGGCGGUUAUCCAAGUCGGAUGUGAAAGCCUUGAGCUCAACUCAAGAAAUGCAUUCGGUACUGGGUGACUAGAGGACCGGAGAGGAUAGUGGAAUUCCCAGUGUAGUGGUGAAAUACGUAGAGAUUGGGAAGAACACCAGUGGCGAAGGCGGCUAUCUAGACGGUUUCUGACGCUAAGACGCGAAAGCGUGGGGAGCAAACAGG